AAUCAUAUAUAAUAUGUGGGCAUUUACUUGGAACAAGUGACCCCAAAUUAAGGAGGAGGAGACUACUUCAAAUCAUGCCUAGUGAAUAGGGCAUCAUUUCAUGUAAUUCCACUAUAUCAACUACCACAUGGUUGAGAUCAUGUGCACAAUGACAAAGUGACAUGGGGGUUUGAACCCCAUGUUUGUGUCAUGCACAUCAACUUCACAACCCCUUCUACUAAGCUUCCCAACAUACAAAUCACCAUGCCCUCUCACAUAUGGACAUGUGAAAGUGCACAAGUGUUGCAAGGUGGGGAUGUUUUCACCACAUGCAUAUCAUCGACUCAUAUGCAUAUCACCUAGUUAGAACCCACACCACCUACACAAGCUAGCAACACAAAAUAAUGCUAUCUCAUGCAUAUGGCACUUACACACACAUGCAUGCCUACACUAGCUACACCUCAUGUGUGUGC
rnacentral:lncRNA from 1 species